rnacentral:rRNA from 1 species
UACGAAGGUGGCAAGCGUUGUUCGGAUUUACUGGGCGUACAGGGCGCGUAGGCGGUUGGAUAAGCCCUCCGUGGAAUCUCCAGGCUUAACCUGGAAAGUGCAGAGGGGACUGUUCAGCUAGAGGAUGGGAGAGGAGCGCGGAAUUCCCGGUGUAGCGGUGAAAUGCGUAGAGAUCGGGAGGAAGGCCGGUGGCGAAGGCGGCGCUCUGGAACAUUUCUGACGCUGAGGCUCGAAAGCGUGGGGAGCAAACAGG